UACGUAGGGUGCAAGCGUUAAUCGGAAUUACUGGGCGUAAAGCGUGCGCAGGCGGUUUUGUAAGACCGAUGGGAAAUCCCCGGGCUUAACCUGGGAACUGCAUUGGUGACUGCAAGGCUUGAGUGUGUCAGAGGGAGGUGGAAUUCCGCGUGUAGCAGUGAAAUGCGUAGAUAUGCGGAGGAACACCGAUGGCGAAGGCAGCCUCCUGGGAUAACACUGACGCUCAUGCACGAAAGCGUGGGGAGCAAACAGG
rnacentral:rRNA from 1 species